AUUGAACGCUGGCGGCAGGCUUAACACAUGCAAGUCGAGCGGUAACAGAGAGAAGCUUGCUUCUCUGCUGACGAGCGGCGGACGGGUGAGUAAUGCCUAGGAAUCUGCCUAGUAGUGGGGGAUAACUUGCCGAAAGGUAAGCUAAUACCGCAUACGUCCUACGGGAGAAAGGAGGGGACCUUCGGGCCUUUCGCUAUUAGAUGAGCCUAGGUCGGAUUAGUUAGUUGGUGAGGUAAUGGCACACCAAGACCGCGAUCCGUAACUGGUCUGAGAGGAUGAUCAGUCACACUGGAACUGAGACACGGUCCAGACUCCUACGGGAGGCAGCAGUGGGGAAUAUUGGACAAUGGGGGGAACCCUGAUCCAGCCAUGCCGCGUGUGUGAAGAAGGUCUUAGGAUUGUAAAGCACUUUAAGUUGGGAGGAAGAGCAGUUAACUAAUAUUUGACUGUUUUGACGUUACCGACAGAAUAAGCACCGGCUAACUUCGUGCCAGCAGCCGCCGUAA
rnacentral:rRNA from 1 species